rnacentral:rRNA from 1 species
UACAGAGGUCUCGAGCGUUAGGCGGAAUCACUGGGCUUAAAGCGUGUGUAGGUGGAUGCCUAAGUACCUUGUGAAAUCCUACGGCUUAACCGUGGAACUGCUUGGUAUACUGGGUGUCUUGAGUCACUCAGGGGCGAGCGGAACAAAUGGUGGAGCGGUGAAAUGCGUAGAUAUCAUUUGGAACGCCAAUGGUGAAAACAGCUCGCGGGGGGUGCACUGACACUGAGACACGAAAGCCAGGGGAGCGAACGGG